rnacentral:misc_RNA from 1 species
CUGCUUGCUCAUGGCCGCCUAGAGGGGAAACCCCCUUGGCGGUACGGCAACACCCACCCUUGACUACAUAUACCUUUCGUUAUUUCCCUCGGCGGGGCAACCCGCCGCUGGGGACAUCAAAACCCUCUUGUAUCAAGCAUCAAAACUUCUGAAACAAACCUAAAAUAUCA